GGCGUCAAAAAGCUAGAUUUCAAAUCACUUGUGUGAGGACCUCAGGGUCUACAUCCGUAUCAAUAUUGGCAGGAUAUCACCUUUAAUAUUCACAGGAAAGAAAACUACUGAAGUGGCCAGACCAACACAGCUUAGCUGGCUAUGAUUGUGCUGGCGGAAGAAAUUCCAUAAAUGCAGAAAAUUUCAGACAGAUGGGUUCCGAAGAUCAGAUGGCAGUGGCAGAAUUCCUUUUUUCCAGGGGGUAAAUCCCCCAACCACCAGACCAGACACUAAUGUUUACCUGUCCUUCAUCACAUGUUGUUGAUGGAACCAGUUCGUCCUU